UACGUUCCCAGGCCUUGUACACACCGCCCGUCACAUCAUGAAAGCCGGUUGUACCCGAAGCCGCCCCUAAAAAGGUGUCGAAGGUAUGGCUGGUGAUUGGGAUG
rnacentral:rRNA from 1 species